rnacentral:rRNA from 1 species
GACGAACGCUGGCGGCGUGCCUAAUACAUGCAAGUCGAACGAGAGCGACCGGUGCUUGCUCUGGUCAAUCUAGUGGCGAACGGGUGAGUAACACGUGGGUAACCUGCCCAUCAGAGGGGGAUAACAUCCGGAAACGGAUGCUAAAACCGCAUAGGUCUUCGAGCCGCAUGGCUUGAAGAGGAAAAGAGGCGCAAGCUUCUGCUGAUGGAUGGACCCGCGGUGCAUUAGCUAGUUGGUGAGGUAACGGCUCACCAAGGCCGUGAUGCAUAGCCGACCUGAGAGGGUGAUCGGCCACAUUGGGACUGAGACACGGCCCAAACUCCUACGGGAGGCAGCAGUAGGGAAUCUUCCGCAAUGGGCGCAAGUCUGACGGAGCAACGCCGCGUGAGUGAAGAAGGUUUUCGGAUCGUAAAACUCUGUUGUUAGAGAAGAACAAGUGCUAGAGUAACUGUUAGCGCCUUGACGGUAUCUAACCAGAAAGCCACGGCUAACUACGUG